rnacentral:pre_miRNA from 1 species
AGUUCCUGCCGGAUCGCCCUGUUUGGGGACCGCGACCGCCAGGAUGGCUCGGCAUCCUGGCGGUCGCGGUCCCCGGACCGGGAGGGUCCGGGAGGGGGU